rnacentral:rRNA from 1 species
UACGUAGGGGGCAAGCGUUGCUCGGAAUCACUGGGCGUAAAGGGUGCGUAGGCGGGUCUUUAAGUCAGGGGUGAAAUCCUGGAGCUCAACUCCAGAACUGCCUUUGAUACUGAAGAUCUUGAGUCCGGGAGAGGUGAGUGGAACUGCGAGUGUAGAGGUGAAAUUCGUAGAUAUUCGCAAGAACACCAGUGGCGAAGGCGGCUCACUGGCCCGGUACUGACGCUGAGGCACGAAAGCGUGGGGAGCAAACAGG